rnacentral:rRNA from 1 species
GCUAUAAUUACUUGAUCUUGACACUAUCCUACUUGGAUAACUGUGGUAAUUCUAGAGCUAAUACAUGCAUUAAAGCUCUGACCUCACGGGAAGAGUGCAUUUAUUAGAACAAAACCAAGCGGCUUCGGCUGUUUCUGGUUGACUCAUAGUAACUGAGCUGAUCGCAUGGUCUUGCACCGGCGACGUGUCUUUCAAGUAUCUGCCGUAUCAACUUUCGAUGGUAGUGUAUCUGACUACCAUGGUGAUCACGCGUAACGGAGAAUAAGGGUUCGGCUCCGGAGAGUUCGCCUGAGAAAUCGCGAACACAUCUAAGGAAGGCAGCAGGCGCGAAAAUUACCCACUCUCAGCACGAGGAGGUAGUGACGAAAAAUAACGAGACCGUUCUCUUAUGAGGCCGGUCAUCGGAAUGGGUACAAUUUAAACCCUUUAACGAGUAUCUAUGAGAGGGCAAGUCUGGUGCCAGCAGCCGCGGUAAUUCCAGCUCUCAAAGUGCAUAGAAUUAUUGCUGCGGUUAAAAAGCUCGUAGUUGGAUCUGUGCCAUAGGACGGGGUCUACCUUCGGGUACGUACUCCGCUCCUAGGCUUUUUGCUGGUUUUCCCGUCGUAGCCUUCACUGGUUGCGGCGGGUGGCUGGCGAGUUUACUUUGAGAAAAUCAAAGUGCUCAACACAGGCGUAUCGCUUGAAUGAUUGUGCAUGGAAUAAUAGAAAAGGAUUUCGGUCCUCUUUUAUUGGUUUUGUGGACUGAGAUAAUGGUUAACAGGGACAAACGGGGGCAUUCGUAUCGCUGCGUGAGAGGUGAAAUUCUUGGACCGUAGCGAGACGCCCUACUGCG